ACACAUGCAGUCGAGCGAGACCUUCGGGUCUAGCGGCGGACGGGUUAGUAACGCGUGGGAACGUGCCCUUCUCUGCGGAAUAGCCACUGGAAACGGUGAGUAAUACCGCAUACGCCCUUCGGGGGAAAGAUUUAUCGGAGAAGGAUCGGCCCGCGUUAGAUUAGAUAGUUGGUGGGGUAACGGCCUACCAAGUCUACGAUCUAUAGCUGGUUUUAGAGGAUGAUCAGCAACACUGGGACUGAGACACGGCCCAGAUCUCCUACGGGAGGCACGCAGUGGGGAAUUCUUAGACAAUGGGCGCAAGCCUGUAUCUAGCCAUGCCGCGUGUGUGAUGAAGGUUCUUAGGAAUCGUAAAGCACUUUCGCCAGGGAUGAUAAUGACAGUACCCUGGUAAAGAAACCCCGGCUAACUCCCGUGCCAGCAGCCGCGGGUAAUACGGAGGGGGUUAGCGUUGUUCGGAAUUACUGGGCGUAAAGCGUACGUAGGCGGAUCAAGAAAGUUGGGGGUGAAAUCCCGGGGCUCAACCCCGGAACUGCCUCCAAAACUCCUGGUCUUGAGUUCGAGAGAGGUGAGUGGAAUUCCAAGUGUAGAGGUGAAAUUCGUAGAUAUUUGGAGGAACACCAGUGGCGAAGGCGGCUCACUGGCUCGAUACUGACGCUGAGGUACGAAAGUGUGGGGAGCAAACAGGAUUAGAUACCCUGGUAGUCCACACCGUAAACGAUGAAUGCCAGUCGUCGGGCAGUAUACUGUUCGGUGACACACCUAACGGAUUAAGCAUUCCGCCUGGGGGAGUACGGGUCGCAAGAUUAAAACUCAAAGGAAUUGACGGGGGCCCCGCCACAAGCCGGUGGGAGCAUGGUGGUUUAAUUCGAAGCAACGCCGCAGAACCUUUACCAACCCUUUGACAUCCUGGUGCUAACCCGAAAGAUCGGGGCGGUUCCACUUCCGGUGACGCAGUGACAGGUGCCUGGCAUGGCUUGUCGUCCAGCCUCGUGUCGUGAGAUGUUCCGGGUUAAGUCCGGCAACGAGCGCAACCCACAUUCCUUAGUUGCCAGCAGUUCGGCUGGGCACCUCUAAGGAAACUUGCCCGUGAGUAUAAGCGGGAGGAAGGUGUGGAUGACGUCAAGUCCUCAUGGCCCUUACGGGUUGGGCUACACACGUGCUACAAUGGCAGUGACAAUGGGUUAAUCCCCAAAAGCUGUCUCAGUUCGGAUUGGGGUCUGCAACUCGACCCCAUGAAGUCGGAAUCGCUAGUAAUCGUGGAACAGCAUGCCACGGUGAAUACGUUCCCGGGCCUUGUACACACCGCCCGUCACACCAUGGGAGUUGGUUCUACCCGACGGCCGUGCGCCAACCUUUCGAGGAGGCAGCGGACCACGGUAGGAUCAGCGACUGGGGUGAAGUCGUAACAAG
rnacentral:rRNA from 1 species